rnacentral:rRNA from 1 species
AUACGGAGGGGGUUAGCGUUGUUCGGAAUUACUGGGCGUAAAGCGCACGUAGGCGGACUGGAAAGUUGGGGGUGAAAUCCCGGGGCUCAACCCCGGAACUACCUCCAAAACUUCCAAUCUAGAGAUCGAGAGAGGUGAGUGGAAUUCCAAGUGUAGAGGUGAAAUUCGUAGAUAUUUGGAGGAACACCAGUGGCGAAGGCGGCUCACUGGCUCGAUACUGACGCUGAGGUGCGAAAGCGUGGGGAGCAAACAGGAUUAGAAACCCUAGUAGUCC